rnacentral:misc_RNA from 1 species
GAUGAAGAACGUAGCGAAAUGCGAUAAGUAAUGUGAAUUGCAGAAUUCAGUGAAUCAUCGAAUCUUUGAACGCACAUUGCGCCCCUUGGUAUUCCGAGGGGCAUGCCCGUUCGAGCGUCAUUAUACCCCUCAAGCCUAGCUUGGUGUUGGGGCCUGCUGUUACCGGCAGCCCUUAAAAUCAGUGGCGGUGCCAUCUGGCUCUAAGCGUAGUAAUACUUCUCGCUACAGGGUCCCGGUGGAUGCUUGCCAUCAACCCCUAAUUUUCUAUGGUUGACCUCGGAUCGGGUAGGGAUACCCGCUGAACUUAAGCAUAUCAAUAAGCGGAGA